AAGAAAAAACAUACUUUUCUCUCUGAUAUUCUCUUCCAGUUUAGGCUCUACUUCUAUAAAUUUGUUCUCCAUUUCCGAAUCUUUCUUCUUCAGCGGUUUCAAUUCUCUGCCCCUUUUGAUCAACUCUUCUUCUUCAUUCUCUUGUGUGGUUAUGGCGAAAUCUAUUCUUGUCACCGGUGGUGCUGGCUAUAUUGGAAGCCACACUGUUCUUCAGCUCCUCCUCGGCGGUUACCGGACUGUCGUCGUCGAUAAUUUGGAUAAUUCCUCUGAAAUUUCUGUUCGUCGUGUCAAGGAGCUCGCCGGCGAUCUCGGCAAAAAUCUUUUGUUCCAUAAGGUGGACCUCAGGGAUAAACAGGCUUUGGAGAAGGUGUUUGCCUCAACACCAUUUGACACUGUUAUUCACUUUGCUGGGCUGAAAGCAGUUGGAGAAAGUGUACAGAAACCAUUGCUUUACUAUGACAACAACUUGAUUGGAACAAUUACUUUAUUGGAAGUCAUGGCGGCCCAUGGUUGUAAAAAGCUCGUCUUCUCGUCUUCAGCCACCGUCUAUGGUUGGCCAAAGGAGGUGCCAUGUACAGAAGAAUUCCCCCUCUCUGCAGCAAACCCAUAUGGACGAACCAAGCUUUUCAUAGAAGAAAUCUGUCGUGACACGUACCGAUCGGACUCGGAAUGGAAAAUCAUAUUGCUAAGAUAUUUCAAUCCGGUUGGUGCACAUCACAGUGGCUAUAUUGGUGAGGAUCCUCGUGGAAUCCCGAACAACCUUAUGCCUUUCGUGCAGCAAGUUGCUGUUGGCAGGCGUCCUGCCUUGACCGUCUUUGGAACCGACUAUGCAACGAAAGAUGGAACUGGAGUACGUGAUUAUAUUCAUGUUGUUGAUUUAGCUGAUGGACACAUUGCUGCAUUGCGCAAGUUGGAUGCGGCUGGUAUAGGUUGUGAAGUUUACAAUCUGGGAACUGGAAAGGGUACAUCAGUUUUGGAGAUGGUUGCAGCUUUUGAAAAGGCAUCUGGAAAGAAAAUUCCUCUUGUAAUGUCUGCACGCCGACCCGGUGACGCUGAAAUCGUCUACGCGUCUACACACAAAGCAGAAAAGGAGCUGAACUGGAAAGCAAAAUAUGGAAUAGAGGAGAUGUGCAGGGAUCAGUGGAACUGGGCCAGCAAGAAUCCUUAUGGCUAUGAACCUCCCAGCUCCAAGUGAUGGGUAUUGCUUAUAUAUCUCUCUUGGGGCCAUCUCUCAACCCUACACGCUUGAACUUCUUGGUUACGUUCCAAGUUGAUCAUCACUGAGAUAUCUCGAUGUAAUUAAAGCCUUAAUAAAAACAGCUCUUUUAAGGAGUAGUUCUAAGUCCAUUGAUUUGGUUCAGUUUCUGAUCAAUUUCGUCACCUUUUCUGAGAACAAGGAGAGAGUUAGAUCUUGAUGGAUUCUGAUAUAACCCGUCUCGUUUGGAUAUUGAUCGGUCUUAGUGU